rnacentral:rRNA from 1 species
GGGAGGUAGUGACAAUAAAUAACAAUACGGGGUUCUUUAGGAUUUCGUAAUUGGAAUGAGUACAAUUUAAAUCUCUUAACGAGGAACAAUUGGAGGGCAAGUCUGGUGCCAGCAGCCGCGGUAAUUCCAGCUCCAAUAGCGUAUAUUAAAGUUGUUGCAGUUAAAAAGCUCGUAGUUGAAUUUCGGGAUCAAUACGUCGGUCGUGCUUUUUUGGUACGCACUGGCGUCAUUGGUUUCUCCUUUCUGACGAACCAUGAUGUCAUUAAUUUGGUGUUAUGGGGAGUUAGGACUGUUACUUUGAAAAAUUAGAGUGUUUAAAGCAGGCUCACGCUUGAAUACAUUAGCAUGGAAUAAUGAAAUAGGACGUUUGAUCCUAUUUUGUUGGUUUCUAGGAUUGACGUAAUGAUUAAUAGGGAUAGUUGGG